CCGAGUUUCAAACUCAUAACCCAUUGUGAACAUACCAAAGUUGCUUCGGCCUCUGUUUCGGCAGUGGUCGAGGGCCCCAAACCUCUAUUUUAAUCAUGUGUUUCUUCUGAGUAACCAAAAAAUAAAUCA
rnacentral:misc_RNA from 1 species